CUGUGCUAGAUGGGGAGCUAGCGGUGCCCUGUUACCUGCAAUCCGCUACAGCAGGAUCGAAUGCUAUUUUAGGCUUUAUCUAUGGAAGGUCCGCCUUCGAUAAGCGAUGUUGAUGUCAAGGUCUUGUGCAAUUGCACGCUGUGAACCAUGUCAGGGCUUGACCGCAGCAGCAUUAAGCAGAAUGUACAAUGUGCCACGAGGUAGCUUUGAAGGAGUUGGCUGUCGUUGUACCGCUUCGGUAGAUACUGUCGACAAUAGAUGCACAG
rnacentral:SRP_RNA from 1 species